GCAGUCGCGCGAGAAAGGGGGGCAACUCCCUGAGUAAAGCGGCGCACGGGUGAGUAACACGUAGGUAACCUACCCUCGAGUCCAGGAUAACCUACCGAAAGGUGGGCUAAUACCGGAUAUGACCACGGGAAUCACGGUUUCCGCGGUGAAAGGUGGCCUCUGCUUGCAAGCUACUGCUCGAAGAUGGGCCUGCGCGCCAUUAGCUAGUUGGUGAGGUAACGGCCCACCAAGGCGAUGAUGGCUAGCUGGUCUGAGAGGAUGGCCAGCCACACUGGGACUGGAACACGGCCCAGACUCCUACGGGAGGCAGCAGUGGGGGAUAUUGCGCAAUGGGCGAAAGCCUGACGCAGCGACGCCGCGUGGGUGAUGAAGGCCUUCGGGUCGUAAAGCCCUGUCGAGGGGAACGAAACGGAUACGACCUAAUACGUCGUGUCCCUGACGGUACCCCUAAAGGAAGCACCGGCUAACUCCGUGCCAGCAGCCGCGGUAAUACGGAGGGUGCGAGCGUUGUUCGGAAUCACUGGGCGUAAAGGGCGUGUAGGCGGUCCGUUAAGUCUGAUGUGAAAGCCCGGGGCUCACCCCCGGAAGGGCAUUGGAAACUGGCGGACUCGAGUCCCGGAGAGGAGAGUGGAAUUCCUGGUGUAGCGGUGAAAUGCGUAGAUAUCAGGAGGAACACCGGUGGCGAAGGCGGCUCUCUGGACGGUGACUGACGCUAAGACGCGAAAGCGUGGGGAGCAAACAGGAUUAGAUACCCUGGUAGUCCACGCUGUAAACGAUGAGCACUAGGUGUCGUGGGUAUUGACCCCCGCGGUGCCGCAGCUAACGCAUUAAGUGCU
rnacentral:rRNA from 1 species